CAAGAGUUCUACUUGUUUGAAAGUAGUUUGUAUGUUAAAACUGCUAAACUCUAAACAUCUAUGUGCUUUGGUGCCCCCAUUUUCUUUGAUUUGGAGUUUAGGAUGAGAGACGUUAAGCUCCAAACUCAGAAUAAGAAUCUAUAAGAAAUAUGCGUCAAUGCAGAAGCUGUUCAAAAAUGAGUAAGAUUUUUUCCUUGAGCCAAGAAAGAAAUGCGGAAGUCUUGACAAACAAGAGAAGAGACUGCCUUAGGGAAAGGGACUACAGUGAACACUCAGAACUUCUUCCUGUGCUAAGACAAUCUUUAAAAGUAAACAUAAGAAGACAAAAGGUGGAGACCUAUUCUGUUGGGUUAGAGAUGACAGAAAAUCUUAUUUGUUGGUUGGUUGGUUUGUUCAAGAAUACACUGACCUUCUACAAGAAAGGACAUCUGGAAAUGUGAGUUUUUUGUUCUCUGUUUAUUUUAAACCAUGACUAAGGGUAUAGAACUAAAGCUGCCAGCUACUUGUCUGUCUGGCUGUAAUUAUCUUAUAAGUCUAAAAUCUUAAUAUCUUAUGAGUCUAAGAUAUUAAAAUUAAUGUCUUAUAAAAUUAAUAUCCUAUAAUUAAGUAUAAUUUAGUUAAUUUUAAUAUCUUAGACUUAUUAACUCAUUAUUAAUAAUCUCUUAAUACUUGUAUAAUAUCUCAGACAAUUGAAAAUUGGUCACCAUGCAUGGUUUUAAUAAAAA
rnacentral:lncRNA from 1 species